rnacentral:rRNA from 1 species
UACGAGGGGGGCGAGCGUUGUUCGGAAUUAUUGGGCGUAAAGGGUGCGUAGGCGGCCUGUCAAGUCUGAUGUGAAAUCCCUGGGCUCAACCCAGGGCCUGCAUCGGAAACUGUCGGGCUUGAGUAUGGGAGAGGUGAGUGGAAUUUCCGGUGUAGCGGUGAAAUGCGUAGAUAUCGGAAGGAACACCAGUGGCGAAGGCGGCCUUCUGGACCAAUACUGACGCUCAUGCACGAAAGCGUGGGGAGCAAACAGG